CUUGUACUCCCUCCGUCCGAAAAUACUUGUCAUUGAAAUGGAUGUAUCUAGAUGUAUUUUAGUUCUAGACACAUCCAUUUUGAUGACAAGUAAUUUUGGACGAAGGGAGUACUUG
rnacentral:pre_miRNA from 1 species